rnacentral:rRNA from 1 species
AGUGAACGCUGGCGGCGUGCCUAACACAUGCAAGUCGAACGGGCUAGUGCUUCGCACUAGUCUCUUUCUGGGGUUGCUACUCUAAGGCUACCUGCUAAAGUUAUUGCUUUAAAGCAGGGGUUUUAGGGGACCUUCCCCAAAAGGGGCCAGUGCGGAGCACUGGCCAGUGGCGAACGGGUGAGUAACACGUGGGUAAUCUGCCCUCGAGUGGGGAAUAAGCUCCCGAAAGGGGGUCUAAUACCGCAUGACGUUUCAUAACGAUGGUUAUGAAACCAAAGCCCAAAAGGCGCUUGAGGAGGAGCCUGCGUCCUAUCAGUUUGUUGGCAGGGUAAUGGCCUACCAAGGCUAUGACGGGUAGCCGGCCUGAGAGGGUGUCCGGCCACACUGGAACUGAGACACGGUCCAGACUCCUACGGGAGGCAGCAGUGGGGAAUUUUGGACAAUGGGCGCAAGCCUGAUCCAGCCAUUCCGCGUGCAGGAUGAAGGCCUUCGGGUUGUAAACGUGUCUUUUGUACGGUAACGAAACGGACGACG